CCUACGGGGCGCACCAGUGGGGAAUAUUGCACCAUGGGCGCAAGCCUGAUGCAGCCAUGCCGCGUGUAUGAAGAAGGCCCUCGGGUUGUAAAGUACUUUCAGCGAGGAGGAAGGCAUUAAGGUUAAUAACCUUGGUGAUUGACGUUACUCGCAGAAGAAGCACCGGCUAACUCCGUGCCAGCAGCCGCGGUAAUACGGAGGGUGCAAGCGUUAAUCGGAAUUACUGGGCGUAAAGCGCACGCAGGCGGUCUGUCAAGUCGGAUGUGCAAUCCCCGGGCUCAACCUGGGAACUGCAUUCGAAACUGGCAGGCUAGAGUCUUGUAGAGGGGGGUAGAAUUCCAGGUGUAGCGGUGAAAUGCGUAGAGAUCUGGAGGAAUACCGGUGGCGAAGGCGGCCCCCUGGACAAAGACUGACGCUCAGGUGCGAAAGCGUGGGGAGCAAACAGGAUUAGAUACCCCAGUAGUC
rnacentral:rRNA from 1 species